AGAGUUUGAUCCUGGCUCAGGACGAACGCUGGCGGCGUGCCUAAUACAUGCAAGUAGAACGCUGAAGGGAGGAGCUUGCUCUUCUUGGAUGAGUUGCGAACGGGUGAGUAACGCGUAGGUAACCUGCCUUGUAGCGGGGGAUAACUAUUGGAAACGAUAGCUAAUACCGCAUAACAAUGGAUGACACAUGUCAUUUAUUUGAAAGGGGCAAUUGUUCCACUACAAGAUGGACCUGCGUUGUAUUAGCUAGUAGGUGAGGUAAUGGCUCACCUAGGCGACGAUACAUAGCCGACCUGAGAGGGUGAUCGGCCACACUGGGACUGAGACACGGCCCAGACCCCUACGGGAGGCAGCAGUAGGGAAUCUUCGGCAAUGGGGGCAACCCUGACCGAGCAACGCCGCGUGAGUGAAGAAGGUUUUCGGAUCGUAAAGCUCUGUUGUAAGUCAAGAACGGGUGUGAGAGUGGAAAGUUCACACUGUGACGGUAGCUUACCAGAAAGGGACGGCUAACUACGUGCCAGCAGCCGCGGUAAUACGUAGGUCCCGAGCGUUGUCCGGAUUUAUUGGGCGUAAAGCGAGCGCAGGCGGUUUGAUAAGUCUGAAGUUAAAGGCUGUGGCUCAACCAUAGUUCGCUUUGGAAACUGUCAAACUUGAGUGCAGAAGGGGAGAGUGGAAUUCCAUGUGUAGCGGUGAAAUGCGUAGAUAUAUGGAGGAACACCGGUGGCGAAAGCGGCUCUCUGGUCUGUAACUGACGCUGAGGCUCGAAAGCGUGGGGAGCGAACAGGAUUAGAUACCCUGGUAGUCCACGCCGUAAACGAUGAGUGCUAGGUGUUGGAUCCUUUCCGGGAUUCAGUGCCGCAGCUAACGCAUUAAGCACUCCGCCUGGGGAGUACGACCGCAAGGUUGAAACUCAAAGGAAUUGACGGGGGCCCGCACAAGCGGUGGAGCAUGUGGUUUAAUUCGAAGCAACGCGAAGAACCUUACCAGGUCUUGACAUCCCGAUGCUAUUUCUAGAGAUAGAAAGUUACUUCGGUACAUCGGUGACAGGUGGUGCAUGGUUGUCGUCAGCUCGUGUCGUGAGAUGUUGGGUUAAGUCCCGCAACGAGCGCAACCCCUAUUGUUAGUUGCCAUCAUUCAGUUGGGCACUCUAGCGAGACUGCCGGUAAUAAACCGGAGGAAGGUGGGGAUGACGUCAAAUCAUCAUGCCCCUUAUGACCUGGGCUACACACGUGCUACAAUGGUUGGUACAACGAGUUGCGAGUCGGUGACGGCGAGCUAAUCUCUUAAAGCCAAUCUCAGUUCGGAUUGUAGGCUGCAACUCGCCUACAUGAAGUCGGAAUCGCUAGUAAUCGCGGAUCAGCACGCCGCGGUGAAUACGUUCCCGGGCCUUGUACACACCGCCCGUCACACCACGAGAGUUUGUAACACCCGAAGUCGGUGAGGUAACCUUUUGGAGCCAGCCGCCUAAGGUGGGACAGAUGAUUGGGGUGAAGUCGUAACAAGGUA
rnacentral:rRNA from 1 species